rnacentral:tRNA from 1 species
CGGGAUGUAGCGCAAUUUGGUAGCGUAUACGCUUUGGGAGCGUGUGGUUGCAGGUUCGAGUCCUGCCAUUCCGA